GGCCUUCGGGUUGUAAAGCUCUUUUGUCAGGGAAGAAACACCGGCUCUAACACAGUUCGGGAAUGACGGUACCUGAAGAAUAAGCACCGGCUAACUACGUGCCAGCAGCCGCGGUAAUACGUAGGGUGCGAGCGUUAAUCGGAAUUACUGGGCGUAAAGCGUGCGCAGGCGGUUGUACAAGACAGGCGUGAAAUCCCCGGGCUUAACCUGGGAAUGGCGCCUGUGACUGUACGGCUAGAGUGUGUCAGAGGGGGGUAGAAUUCCACGUGUAGCAGUGAAAUGCGUAGAUAUGUGGAGGAAUACCAAUGGCGAAGGCAGCCCCCUGGGAUAACACUGACGCCCAUGCACGAAAGCGUGGGGAGCAAACAGGAUUAGAUACCCUGGUAGUCCACGCCCUAAACGAUGCUGACUAGUUGUUCGGGAUUUACAUCCUGAGUAACGUAGCUAACGCGUGAAGUCAGCCGCCUGGGGAGUACGGUCGCAAGAUUAAAACUCAAAGGAAUUGACGGGGACCCCACAAGCGGUGGAUGAUGUGGAUUAAUUCGAUGCAACGCGAAAAAACUUACCUACCCUUGACAUGUCACUAACGAAGUUG
rnacentral:rRNA from 1 species